UCCAGUGGCGGCGUAGUUCCGUCGACCUGGGCCUCCGCCUCGCCCACCCCCAUCCGCGGCUUCUUCCCGUGUGGACGCCGUCACCGACGUUGACAUCUUCGAAACGCUGGCACCCUCAGCAACCUCGGCAUCCCCAUGGAGCCUCUCGGAGGUUGGUUCCCGCGCCGACGCCAUUGCCGACCUCGAGGUCUUCCAAUAGUAGCGAGGUCCCAAGGCCCUUCCUCGAACCCCCCCCCCCCCCCCGCCCCUCCCUCCGCCCCAUCGCAGAUUUCUGGAUGCCUCCGGAGCACCUGCAAUCCAACGGAAGCGCGAGUGAAGCCGGAGCCUCUUCAGAGGCACAUCUCACGCGAAGGCCAUCGGUGACUUGGAGGCAGAGCUCUGAAAUUCAGACGUCCAUAGCAAGCUUGAAGAAAAGAACCUGACGAAACAUAAAAGAGAGAUACUAUAUCAUUCCAAGUAAAAAAUAUUGUUGCUAUGGGUGGUCCUAUCGGAUCUAUAUUUUCUACACCUUCAGACCCACAAGGUCAUCAAGAUAGUUCUAUCCAAUUUGUGACAACAAACUUAACAUCCUCAUCUUCUGAUGUAACAGGUACACACAGCAAGGACGCUAUGGUGCGAGGUGUGGAAGGCUUGAUCCACACGAUGUCACAGCUCAUGGAGAAUCAGGGGCGUGGAAGCAACCCUACAUAGUUAGUGCAACUGAUUUCUUCUUGAUGCUGGGGAGGUCCUGAACGACAGAGACAGGUUCCAGGUGUAUGAACCACAGGAUGAAUCACAGGAAUGAUCAAGGAUGCAAAUGAUGAUGCAUGCUGAAGAUGAUCGUCUUAUGUCCCUAAUCACUUUCUGUUUACCAUUCUGCUUAGCCAUUGUCUAAGAGUUCUGUAACGGCUGUUAUCCUUUUGAUACUAUU